GGGUGAUUAGCUCAGCUGGGAGAGCACCUCCCUUACAAGGAGGGGGUCGGCGGUUCGAUCCCUGCACGACCCACCA
rnacentral:tRNA from 2 species